UAGUUGCACGAGUUUAGACUCGUAGCAUAUAGCUCAGUAACACGUGGCCAAACUACCCUACAGACCGCGAUAACCUCGGGAAACUGAGGCCAAUAGCGGAUAUCACUCUCAUGCUGGAGUGCCGAGAGUGAGAAACGUUCCGGCGCUGUAGGAUGUGGCUGCGGCCGAUUAGGUAGAUGGUGGGGUAACGGCCCACCAUGCCGAUAAUCGGUACAGGUUGUGAGAGCAAGAGCCUGGAGACGGUAUCUGAGACAAGAUACCGGGCCCUACGGGGCGCAGCAGGCGCGAAACCUUUACACUGCACGACAGUGCGAUAGGGGGACUCCGAGUGUGAGGGCAUAUAGCCCUCGCUUUUCUGAACCGUAAGGUGGUUCAGGAACAAGGACUGGGCAAGACCGGUGCCAGCCGCCGCGGUAAUACCGGCAGUCCGAGUGAUGGCCGAUAUUAUUGGGCCUAAAGCGUCCGUAGCUUGCUGUGUAAGUCCAUUGGGAAAUCGACCAGCUCAACUGGUCGGCGUCCGGUGGAAACUACACAGCUUGGGGCCGAGAGACUCAACGGGUACGUCCGGGGUAGGAGUGAAAUCCUGUAAUCCUGGACGGACCACCAAUGGGGAAACCACGUUGAGAGACCGGACCCGACAGUGAGGGACGAAAGCCAGGGUCUCGAACCGGAUUAGAUACCCGGGUAGUCCUGGCUGUAAACAAUGCUCGCUAGGUAUGUCACGCGCCAUGAGCACGUGAUGUGCCGUAGUGAAGACGAUAAGCGAGCCGCCUGGGAAGUACGUCCGCAAGGAUGAAACUUAAAGGAAUUGGCGGGGGAGCACCACAACCGGAGGAGCCUGCGGUUUAAUUGGACUCAACGCCGGACAUCUCACCGGUCCCGACAGUAGUAAUGACGGUCAAGUUGACGACUUUACUCGACGCUACUGAGAGGAGGUGCAUGGCCGCCGUCAGCUCGUACCGUGAGGCGUCCUGUUAAGUCAGGCAACGAGCGAGACCCACACUUCUAGUUGCCAGCAA
rnacentral:rRNA from 1 species